UGGAAAGAAGCGAGUGACUCCCCUCUCCUC
rnacentral:piRNA from 1 species